UGUAAACCGCUUUUGUCAGGGAAGAAAAGGUUCUGGCUAAUACCUGGGACUCAUGACGGUACCUGAAGAAUAAGCACCGGCUAACUACGUGCCAGCAGCCGCGGUAAUACGUAGGGUGCAAGCGUUAAUCGGAAUUACUGGGCGUAAAGCGUGCGCAGGCGGUUAUGCAAGACAGAGGUGAAAUCCCCGGGCUCAACCUGGGAACUGCCUUUGUGACUGCAUGGCUAGAGUACGGUAGAGGGGGAUGGAAUUCCGCGUGUAGCAGUGAAAUGCGUAGAUAUGCGGAGGAACACCGAUGGCGAAGGCAAUCCCCUGGACCUGUACUGACGCUCAUGCACGAAAGCGUGGGGAGCAAACAGGAUUAGAUACCCUGGUAGUCCACGCCGUAAACGAUGUCUACUAGCCGUUGGGUU
rnacentral:rRNA from 1 species